rnacentral:rRNA from 1 species
AUUGAACGCUGGCGGCAGGCCUAACACAUGCAAGUCGAGCGGGAACUUCGGUUCUAGCGGCGGACGGGUGAGUAAUGCGUAGGAAGCUACCCGACAGAGGGGGAUACCAGUUGGAAACGACUGUUAAUACCGCAUAAUGUCUACGGACCAAAGUGUGGGACCUUCGGGCCACAUGCUGUCGGAUGCGCCUACGUGGGAUUAGCUAGUUGGUGAGGUAAUGGCUCACCGAGGCGACGAUCCCUAGCUGGUCUGAGAGGAUGAUCAGCCACACUGGAACUGAGACACGGGCCAGACUCCUACGGGAGGCAGCAGGGGGGAAUAAUGGACAAUGGGCGCAAGCCUGAUCCAGCCAUGCCGCGUGUGUGAAGAAGGCCUUCGGGUUGUAAAGCACUUUCAGCGAGGAGGAAGGAGUUGUAGUUAAUAGCUGCAACUUUUGACGUUACUCGCAGAAGCAGCACCGGCUAACUCUGUGCCAGCCGCCGCGGUAACAC